rnacentral:tRNA from 1 species
AGUUACUCGCCCGGGGGGGCGGCUUGUUUUGAAAGUAGGUUUGGGGUGUUCGACUCACUCGGUAGCUU